GACGAACGCUGGCGGCGUGCUUAACACAUGCAAGUCGAACGGAAAGGCCCUGCUUGCAGGGUACUCGAGUGGCGAACGGGUGAGUAACACGUGGGUGAUCUGCCCUGCACUUCGGGAUAAGCUUGGGAAACUGGGUCUAAUACCGGAUAGGAGAUAUCUUUAGUGUGGUGGUUGGAAAGUUUUUUCGGUGUAGGAUGAGCUCGCGGCCCAUCAGCUUGUUGGUGGGGUAAUGGCCUACCAAGGCGGCGACGGGUAGCCGGCCUGAGAGGGUGUACGGCCACAUUGGAACUGAGAUACGGCCCAGACUCCUACGGGAUGCAGCAGUGGGGAAUAUUGCACAAUGGGCGCAAGCCUGAUGCAGCGACGCCGCGUGGGGGAUGAAGGCCUUCGGGUUGUAAACUCCUUUCGCUAGGGACGAAGCGUUGUUGUGACGGUACCUAGAUAAGAAGCACCGGCUAACUACGUG
rnacentral:rRNA from 1 species